UACGUAGGGGGCAAGCGUUGUCCGGAAUCAUUGGGCGUAAAGAGCGUGUAGGCGGCUUGAUAAGUCGGAUGUGAAACCUCCAGGCUCAACCUGGAGUCGCCAUCCGAUACUGUCAUGGCUAGAGUCCGGUAGGGGCCCACGGAAUUCCUGGUGUAGCGGUGAAAUGCGCAGAUAUCAGGAGGAACACCGGUGGCGAAGGCGGUGGGCUGGGCCGGCACUGACGCUGAGGAGCGAAAGCGUGGGGAGCGAACAGG
rnacentral:rRNA from 1 species